UCCCUAGUGGCUUAGAUGGUAAAGAAUCUGCCUGCAAGGCAGGAGACCUGGGUUCAAUCCCUGGGUCAGGAA
rfam:Ovis aries breed Texel chromosome 5, whole genome shotgun sequence.